UAACAUAGAAGUAAUUAAUUACAUUUAGUUUCGACCUAAAAUUAGAGAAUAAAUCUCCAUGUUUU
rnacentral:tRNA from 1 species